AGCUUGCUUCUCUUGAGAGCGGCGGACGGGUGAGUGAUGCCUAGGAAUCUGCCUGGUAGUGGGGGAUAACGUCCGGAAACGGACGCUAAUACCGCAUACGUCCUACGGGAGAAAGCAGGGGACCUUCGGGCCUUGCGCUAUCAGAUGAGCCUAGGUCGGAUUAGCUAGUUGGUGGGGUAAUGGCUCACCAAGGCGACGAUCCGUAACUGGUCUGAGAGGAUGAUCAGUCACACUGGAACUGAGACACGGUCCAGACUCCUACGGGAGGCAGCAGUGGGGAAUAUUGGACAAUGGGCGAAAGCCUGAUCCAGCCAUGCCGCGUGUGUGAAGAAGGUCUUCGGAUUGUAAAGCACUUUAAGUUGGGAGGAAGGGCAGUAAAUUAAUACUUUGCUGUUUUGACGUUACCGACAGAAUAAGCACCGGCUAACUCUGUGCCAGCAGCCGCGGUAAUACAGAGGGUGCAAGCGUUAAUCGGAAUUACUGGGCGUAAAAGCGCGCGUAGGUGGUUCGUUAAGUUGGAUGUGAAAUCCCCGGGCUCAACCUGGGAACUGCAUUCAAAACUGACGAGCUA
rnacentral:rRNA from 1 species